rnacentral:rRNA from 1 species
CCUACGGGCGGCAGCAGUGAGGCAUAUUGGUCAAUGGACGAGAGUCUGAACCAGCCAAGUCACGUGAAGGAUGACUGCCCUACGGGUUGUAAACUUCUUUUAUAUGGGAGUAAAGUGUUCCACGUGUGGUGUUUUGUACGUACCAUAUGAAUAAGCAUCGGCUAAAUCCGUGCCAGCAGCCGCGGUAAUACGGAGGAUGGGAGCGUUAUCCGGCUUUAUUGGGUUUAAAGGGAGCGUAGGUGGAUAGUUAAGUCAGUUGUGAAAAUUUGCGGCUCAACCGUAGAAUUGCAGUUGAAACUGGCAGUCUUGAGGACAGUAGAGGUGAGCGGAAUUCGUGGUGUAGCGGUGAAAUGCUUAGAUAUCACGAAGAACUCCGAUUGCGAAGGCAGCUCACUGGACUGCAACUGACGCUGAGGCUCGAAAGUGUGGGUAUCAAACAGGAUUAGAUACCCGUGUAGUC